rnacentral:tRNA from 1 species
CAACUCAUAAUUGGUAAAUUUGCGGGUUCAAUUCCUGCUGGAUGCA